AUGUCUCUUCCUCUUAGUAAGUAAUUUUACAAAGCAAAAGUUUUUAAUUUAGGUUAAGUCCAGUUUAUCAAUAUUUUGUUUUGUUCUCAUCAUCCUUUUAGGGCCAAACCUAAGAAGUUUUGACUAGUCCUAGAUUCCAAAUAUGCUUACCUACAUUCUAUUUUUUCUAAAGAUUUUAUAAUUUGUUUCAUAUCUUAGAUUUCCACAUAAAGUUAAAUUUUUUUCAAGAUAUAAGACUUAGAUCAGAAUUAAUUUUUUUGUGGGGGGAGGGGGGCAGACGUUGUCUGUGUAUGUCAAGUUGUUCAACCAUUUGUUGAAAAGCCAAAAUUUUCUUCCUUCCUUGAAUUUUUUUUUUCCAGUUUUGUAAAAACUUGAUGAGCUUCCCUGAUGGCUUAGUGAAGAAUUCUGCAAUGGAGGAGACCCAGGUGAUCUUCCUGACCCAGGGAUUGAACCCAGGUCUUCCACAAUGCAAGUAGAUGCUUUACCCUCUGAGCCACCAGGGAAGCCUCUUUAAUUGGUGGCAAAAAGUCAGGGGAAAAUCUCAGAGAGAGGUGAAUAUGAGGCAUAAACAUGUAAACUGCGGAAAAUGGUGAAUAUAAAGAUGCUUAAAACAGAAUUUUGAAUGUGGACAUACUCAGUUAUCUUUGAGCUUAAAUGAACAUGAAGCUGACUGUUUUAUUGAGCCAUCCCUUUAUUCUGGACAUAUAUAUCAAUAUGAAAAAGGACCAUACUAGUUUCUGGGGGCAUAAAGGAAAGAACCCAUUUCCUGCUCCCCAUGAAACUCUUCUGUAUUUUGAAUCAGUUCAGAAGUAAUAGUGGGCAAUUUGAUACUGCUAAGGAGAAUAGUGUAUUAAAAGAUUAGCAAGUAUAAUAGUCAAUAUAAUAACAAUAAUUUUUAAGCAGCCAUCAAUACUUGAGAAUUUGUAUUCAUUAUGUGUGAAUGAAGCUUUUAAAUAUGUAGGUUUUGGUAGCUUGGAUACAAGUGGUUUUCAAAUUGUACUUUGAAAAAUGCUCCUAUAGAGCAAUUAAUGAGUACAUGCCAAGGAACAUCUGUGAGUUUAAAAAAAAAAAUGAGAGAGAGAGAAAAGACGAGCCAGAAUGACAUAAAAUAAGUAGGUAAAGAUAACUGCUGGAAAACCACAGAAUACAGUGUCACAAAGAUAUUUUUUAUUACAAAUUGGUACAAACCUGCUUUAAUCUUUCAUGAAUGGAG
ensembl:lncRNA